GAUGAAGAACGUAGCGAAAUGCGAUAAGUAGUGUGAAUUGCAGAAUUCAGUGAAUCAUCGAAUCUUUGAACGCACAUUGCGCCCCUUGGUAUUCCAUGGGGCAUGCCUGUUCGAGCGUCAUUUGUACCUUCAAGCUCUGCUUGGUGUUGGGUGUUUGUCUCGCCUCUGCGUGUAGACUCGCCUCAAAACAAUUGGCAGCCGGCGUAUUGAUUUCGGAGCGCAGUACAUCUCGCGCUUUGCACUCAUAACGACGACGUCCAAAAGUGCAUUUUUACACUCUUGACCUCGGAUCAGGUAGGGAUACCCGCUGAACUUAAGCAUAUCAAUAAGCGGAGGA
rnacentral:misc_RNA from 1 species